rnacentral:lncRNA from 1 species
GGCUACUUUCUGUUUGUUUCCUUUAACAGGAAGGUGUAUAUCCCUUUUCUCCCAUGCCUCAUUUGUUUUCCAUCCUCAGGAAGAAGGAAUUUAAAAAGCUGGAGACUUGAAAGCAUUUUGCUAAAAUAUAUUUACGUGGUGUGCUUGUGAUUGUGAAGAAGAAGUCCAUCUCCCUUUUCCUGAGCCCUGAAAUGACAGAUUCCUCUGGAGAGAUUCAUCUCUGGUUYGUGGUAGCUAUUUCUGUUUGAUUACGUAUGGCAGGUUCUCUACUGCAGUGGUGGUUUCCAUUGAGCUAUAUUAAGAUAGCCAAAGUUGCUUUACUCUUUCAGCAAGAAUAUUUCAUUACAAUAUCAAUCCUGAACUGAUUUUUGUUUUAAUUCUGAAGUUGGAUGCUCUUGAGAUGGCCUGUAAGAACUUUUACAAGAUUCUAAAAGUGAAACUGGCAAAAUUGUUUGAGACAAAGUAAGGAAAUACAAAGAACAGACAUAAAAAGAACAAAAAGAAAAUGAAGUACUUAUUCUGAAAGGUUUUCAGAGUUAAAACUUUAAACUAUUGAAUAUUGUGAUAACAGCACAUGUAUCUUCAUGUGAUAGUGCAGAGGAUUUACAUUUGCAGAAGCAUAUGCAAAAUCAACAGUACUUUGCACAUAAGAAAAUAAGAGAUUCAGUAUUAUUAUUAGUUUCAGGCUUAAUAUUGUUUUAAAACUGAAUCCUCUGGAAGUCAGCUCU